ensembl:lncRNA
AUGAUGAAGUUUCCAGCUGAGCAGCAGCACCAGAGGGACCCUGCAGGAUGUGCCACCCCAGGGGCUGUUUUAAAAGCACUCCUCUUCCUCCUUGGGAUCCCGGUGCAGCCAUGUCACCUGCACUGUGUGAGCAGCGGGCACUGGGUGCUGCCAAGUGCCAGCCAUCACCUCGUGGUUUGUUUUGAGGGAGUGACAGCGUGAGAAAACCACAAAGCAAACAUCAUUGGUGCAGUGCACGUGCUGCUGUGUGUCACCAUGGCAGCUCUGUCCCAUUGCAGGAGAGCAGUGGGGUUUUGCUAGAGCCAGGGACUGCCUUGCCGCUGUUUGCUUGGCCAACAGGGGCACGAUGGCAAUGGUAGAUGUGAGGCAGAAGCUUCCCGGUGUUUCUACUUUGGCUUUUAGUCCUAGAGGGCCACUGCUUGUCCUGCUGGCAACAUAUCUUAGGUGUGAGAAGUGGGGCAGGUGAUGCCCUGAGCAGGCUGUGCCUGUGCAGCCCGGCUUCUGCCUCUGCUGGAGCCCAGGGCAGAGGCUCUGCAGCAGGGCUCUCCUUGGAGCCGGGUUGGCUGCACAGCAUGGUUCCUGCUGCGGAGUUGCCCUGGCCAGGGGGUGUGCAGGGUGGGCUGGAAGCCAGCACACAGCCGUGCUCUGCCAGCUGGUAGAGAGGGAAGGGAGGGAGAAUCCGUAUGGAGGGUCUGUUUGGGUUGGCUCGCUCGGGACACCCCCUCUGUCGCGCACACGUGGCUCUUCCCACACCGCCGUUCUCCUCCCGUUUCCCGUGGCCUGGGAGAGCUCUGGGGCUCCGCUGUGGCUCAGGGCCGGUCUGCAGAGCGCUCCGCCCCACCGGCAGCACGCAGCGGAUGCCGGGAUGGGGCUGAUCCCGUCGGUCUGAGCCGAGCCAUGCGGUGCCGAGCCGUUGUCCCGUGCGUCCCAACCCCGAGGGCUCCGGUCCCAGUGCAUCCCAGCACGGUGUCAGCGUGGCUCGGAGCUGCGGCGGUGCUGCUGUGCACGGUGCUGAGCCCUGGGUGGGCUGAGGCACAGCCCUUUCCUUUCCGAGACCCGACGCUGCCCUGGCACCGCCGCCUGGAGGAUCUGCUGGGCCGGCUGACCCCCGCCGAGAUGGUGCUGCAGAUGGCGAGGGGGGGAGCCCUGCGGAACGGCCCCGCACCCCCCAUCCCACGUCUGGGCAUCGCGCCCUACAACUGGAACACCGAGUGCCUGCGGGGCGACGCGGAGGCACCCGGCUGGGCCACAGCUUUCCCCCAAGCGCUGGGGCUGGCCGCUGCCUUCAGCCCUGAGCUGCUGUACCGAGUGGCCAACGCCACGGCCACCGAAGUGCGUGCCAAGCACAACUCCUUCAUCGCUGCCGGCCGCUACGACGACCACACGGGGCUCAGCUGCUUCAGUCCUGUGCUCAACAUCAUGAGGCAUCCGCUGUGGGGCAGGAACCAGGAGACGUACGGGGAGGAUCCGUACCUGACAGCAGAGCUGGCCACGAGCUUUGUGCAGGGGCUGCAGGGUCAGCACCCCCGCUACAUCAAGGCCAGCGCUGGCUGCAAGCACUUCAGCGUUCACGGUGGCCCUGAGAACAUCCCUGUCUCCAGGCUCAGUUUCGAUGCCAAGGUGCUGGAGCGGGACUGGCGCACCACCUUCCUGCCCCAGUUCCAGGCAUGUGUGCGUGCCGGGUCCUACAGCUUCAUGUGCAGCUACAACAGGAUCAAUGGCGUCCCUGCCUGCGCCAACAAGAAGCUGCUGACGGACAUCCUGCGGGGCGAGUGGGGCUUUGAGGGCUACGUGGUGAGCGACGAGGGGGCUGUGGAGCUCAUCCUGCUGGGGCACCGCUACACACACACCUUCCUGGAGACGGCCAUUGCGUCGGUGAACGCCGGCCUCAACCUGGAGCUGUCCUACGGCGUUAGGGACAACGUCUUCAUGCACAUCCCCGAGGCCUUGGCCAUGGGCAACAUCACACUGGAGACGCUGCGUGACCGUGUCCGGCCCCUGUUCUACACACGGCUGCGGCUAGGGGAGUUCGACCCUCCGGCCAUGAACCCCUACAACGCCCUGGAGCUGAGCGUGGUGCAGAGCCCUGAGCACCGCAACCUCUCUCUGGAGGCAGCCAUCAAAAGCUUCGUGCUGCUGAAGAACCAGCGGGACACGCUGCCGCUCCGUGAGCUGCAUGGCAAGCGCCUGGCGGUGGUGGGUCCCUUUGCAGACAACCCCCGUGUGCUGUUUGGGGACUACGCACCGGUGCCGGAGCCACAGUAUAUCUACACCCCACGGAGGGGGCUGCAAACACUGCCUGCCAACAUCAGCUUUGCUGCGGGCUGCCAGGAGCCGCAGUGCCGGCUGUACUCACGGGAUGAGGUGGAGGAUGCGGUGCAGGGAGCUGAUGUGGUGCUGGUGUGCCUGGGGACGGGGAUAGAUGUGGAGAUGGAGGCGAGGGACCGCAAGGACCUGUCCCUGCCCGGACACCAGCUGCAGCUGCUGCAGGAUGCUGUGCGUGCAGCUGCUGGGCACCCCGUCAUCCUGCUGCUGUUCAAUGCGGGGCCUCUGGAUGUGAGCUGGGCACAGACACAUGAUGGUGUGGGGGCCAUCCUGGCCUGCUUCUUUCCUGCCCAGGCCACCGGCCUGGCCAUUGCCAGCGUCCUGCUGGGCGAGCAGGGGGCCAGCCCUGCAGGCAGGCUGCCAGCCACAUGGCCUGCAGGCAUGCACCAGGUGCCCCCAAUGGAGAACUACACCAUGGAGGGUCGGACGUACCGCUACUACGGGCAGGAGGCCCCGCUCUACCCCUUUGGGUACGGGCUGUCCUACACCACCUUCCACUACCGAGACCUGGUGCUGAGCCCCCCGGUGCUGCCCAUCUGCGCCAACCUCUCCGUGUCGGUGGUGCUGGAGAACACGGGGCCACGUGACAGUGAGGAGGUGAGCAUGGCUGCUCCACUCACCCAUGGCCAUCUGGGGGGGUCAGGUGGGGUUGGGGUCCCUCCUGCUUAUCCCCUCCUUGCAGGUGGUGCAGCUGUACCUGCGCUGGGAGCAGCCAUCUGUGCCGGUGCCGCGCUGGCAGCUGGUGGCUUUCCGCCGUGUGGCCAUACCUGCUGGUGGUGCCACCAAGCUGUCCUUUGGGGUGUUGGCUGCCCAGCGUGCCGUCUGGACCAAGCAAUGGCAUCUGGAGCCCGGAGCCUUCACGCUCUUUGCUGGUGGGCAGCAGCCAGGGCAGCAGAUGCGGGCACCCUCGGAAGUGUUGAGCGCCAAGUUCAGUGUCACUGGGGCUGCCCGGGCACUGCACAGCUGCUAGAGGUGGGGACGGGUGUGAGGAUGAGUCCUGGGGUGUGGGGAGCUGGAGGAAGGAUGAAGCGCAGUGGCUGUGCAGGACAGGGAGAGCACGGUGCUCUGCCUUGCAAUAAAGUGCCCUCUGCUCUCCAGGAGGCUGUGUCCAGCCAGCAUGCUGUAUGCAUGUCCUAUGGGUGCUUGUAG